CGGGGUGUGGCGCAGCUUGGUAGCGUGCCUCGUUCGGGUCGAGGAGGUCGUGGGUUCAAAUCCCGCCACCCCGACGA
rnacentral:tRNA from 12 species